rnacentral:misc_RNA from 1 species
ACAGACAGCAGCAAUAGAGGCUAUGCAAGAGGCUUCUGCUGCAGAGAGCUUACUUCGAUGUAUAAGGUAAGAUAACAUAAGCAAUAAAUAAUUACUGGCAAUGAGUAGAAGUAUUUCAAUUUGGUUUGAACUAGGACAGUUCUGAUUUCCAUUGUAACUUAUAGUUAGUAUUUAAGUGUUUCAUAUAGUUUUCUAGUAUUUCUUGAGCCAGAUUCUGGGCCCUGCAGGCUAAUUCAUCAGUCUUCUAUUUGAAUGUGGAACUUAUUAUUUGUGGUUUCUCAGUGAUAGUAUGGUAUAAGGAUAAAAUCUAAUCUAAGUAGUUCUAUUAUGUUAACAUAUAUUUUUUUUCAAUGAUUGUAACAUAGUUUCUAAUUUGAGGAGUUUCAAGUGCAGUCUCAAAAGUAACAGAAUCCUGGUUUGUUGAGAUGCUUUGAUUGUUUGAGCAUUUACAAAGGUUAGAUUGAAGCAUGUCUGAUUUCUACGUCUUUACAAGAAAAGAAAAAUUUUAAAACAAAUGGAUCUGUUUUUGGGAGUUGAACUGAGAACCGUGAUAUUUUCCAAGUUACUGAAAUUAGAAAGCAUUUUCAUGUUUUUAACAUCUUGACAACCGUAAAGCUAUCUGUAUUAGAUGUGUUUAAGGAACCAUUAUGUGCCUGUACUAUCAACUGGAACAGUUUUUUUCAUAUUUCACUGUUUGUAUCAGCUUGGAUAAACUUUUAGUUAGUCAGACACCUUUGAGAAUCAACAUGUGCUGGCAAAUUUGUUUUGAUUUGAGAUUGUCACAUCAAACACUUUUGUAUAUGUUGAUUAUUUCACAUCAAAUGAAUACUAUUAUUAAUUUAUUCAAGGGAUUGUUAAUAGUUUAGCUUUUGUUGCAGUUUUUUAUAUGGAUUUAUUUGUAAUUGCGAGGAUCCAAGGUACAUAGUUUGAAAGAAAUCAAAGAACUAAAUAUGAAGUUCUGGUUGUCAUUUGUAGUUUGAAAUUGUGAGUUUGUGUUAUUCUCAAUGCAAUGUAGCAAGCCAUCCAUCAAUUUUCUAUAUUGAACUGCAACUUAUAAAAAGUAAAGAAUUAAGAAGCAAACUAGAAAACAAUAUCUGUUUACCACUUUAUUCUAAUAAUCAAUUACAAUUCAAAAUAUUUGUCUCUUCAAUCGUGUUGAAAUUGAGGGCCAAGGAAUAUGGAUUAAUAAACAGGCAGGUUUCCGUUCUGAACUAGGCUUUCCAUUACCAAAAUAGCCUAAGCCAUUUUGGUUUGCCAACACUUAAAUGGCCUUUAAUUUUCUUGUACCCUGCCGAUAUGGGACUAAUUCCCAAAAACCAUAUAUUCCAACACUCCUCCCUGAAAUACAACUGGUUCGGCUUAGACUUCACAGGCCCAGUUAUCACUUGGCAUUAUAUGGGAUUGCUAAUCUAACUUGGGUCUGGCUCUUCAUGUCUCUGCCCUCAAGGUCUAGUUCACUGGGCUAGUCCAUGGAUCCACCUGAGCGUAGCUUGAUUAGCUCAGCUCAUGGGUCUGGCUCAUUGCUUUUGAGCCCAAAAUCUAUGGCCGUUGGGCCUUACAACUCCAAUACCAUGUUGAAAUCGAAGGUCAAGGAGUGUGGAUUAAUAAAGAGGCAGUUGUCCACGCUGAAUUGGCUUGAAACUGGGCUCUCCAUUACCAAGCCAUUUUGGUUUGUUUUGUCAAUACUCAUAUGCCCUUUAAUUUUCUUACACAUUGCCAAUGUGGACCUUCUUUCCACAAACUAUGUAUUCCAACAAAUUGCAUUACUCUUCCUUGGAUAAAGAACAAUGCUUUUUUCAGUAAGGCACAUAGUUUUGUGAAUCAUGAUACUAGGCAUUCUUGGAUUUUUCAGUUAGUUUUUUGAAAUGAAUGAAAUAUUUUGCCUGCUUCAGCAUAGGUUGCGCUGGGUGCUCUAUUUAACAGACCAUAAACUAUGCCAUGCUUUCCUGAAUAGGGAAUCAAAAUAUCAAGGAUAUUUCAUACAUAAUUUAAGUGUUCUCGAUAGGGUGCUCAAUAGUUUCAUGAUGAAUUUUUUAAUGCAUUAAAACAAAAAAGUUUUCAUGACAUAUGCAAGGUCUGAAAUGCAAAGUGUUAAGAAUUUUGGUUGCAUAUAUGUUGUUUCUCUUUUCCAAUUUCAUUAAAAAAAUGCAUUGUUUAUCAGUUCUAGAGCUUUUUAACUCUUCCUUUCUUUUCCUCUUUCUUCCGCUUUCAAUUGACUGCUUACAAGUCUAGGUGUUUGCUUGCUUUAUGCUUUAUUUUUGCAUUAGAAUUUUUGUUUGUGAAUACUCAAAAUAAUAUACCGGAGGAGUGCUGAUUAUGAUGUACUUUACAUUAUCCAUAAUUUGCAACUACUCCCAUAAGAUUGUCCUGUCCUAUCUAUUUAUGUAAAUCUAUAUAUGGUUAAAGUAUUUGAAUCUGCCUAAUACAUAAAUAUGCACCUGCACUCUAUUGGUUUGGUUGCUUUGCACCUUGUACCUUUUUUUUUCCCAUUACACACUUUAUAAUUUUGCAUAACAUUCAAGUGCUUAUUGUAUAAUUUAUGUAUUUCGUUAUUUUACUAUUUCUGUCUUUAUAUCUUUCUCUCUUCCUUGAUUGUUUUGAAACUAAAUGAAUUUUUUAAAAAUAAAGUUAAAAUCCACAAAAACUGUUUAAAUGUAAUGAAAGUUUUAAGUGUGUGACAAGACAAAAAAUAAAGUAGAGGUGUAUGAUGGACCUGGAAAAAUGUACAGGGUGAAAAAUGACCAAACCUUCAAAGUUUGAGCGUGAAUUUAUGUAUUAGGCCUAUUUGAAUCUAUAAGAUUGCACACAUGUACUAGGCUACUAGCAUAGAAUUGCUGCUUUGCUAAAGUAAUUGCUAUGGAUUUUCUGAACUCAAUGUAGAGUUAACUUUUUGAUGUUCAGUAUUAUCCCUCGUAAAUUUGUUGUUGGCAAGUUUCUCCUCCCCCUUUCCCCCUGCACCUUAAAGUACAUAAACAAGUUAUGGUACUCUCUUUCUUUUGUGAUCCGUUGUCCCAAAAAAAUCUUCUUCCUCUCUCUGUCUGUCUGUCUCUCUCUCUC